rnacentral:rRNA from 2 species
UUAAAUUGAAGAGUUUGAUCAUGGCUCAGAUUGAACGCUGGCGGCAGGCCUAACACAUGCAAGUCGAACGGUAACAGGAAGAAGCUUGCUUCUUUGCUGACGAGUGGCG